rnacentral:lncRNA from 1 species
UGUUGUGGAGGUGUGUGUGUGCAGCCCGUGAUGUUUCUCCAGGGACAGAGAGCCACAAGUAAAGGGAAGGUCUACUUCUUUCUGUCCAGCAAGCCCUGAAUAACCAGCCCAGCAUUGGGCCCCCUGCUUGAUUUUGUUCCGACACACCCAGCAUCCUGAGGACUGGCAGCUCAUUUCAAAUUGGAUGGCUUUGCUUGUUAAUGUGUCUACCCUUUAUCCUAAUAGUCCCUGCCCAAUGCUGCUGUGAGGUCAGGUUAUACGUG